UACGGGGGGAGCAAGCGUUGUUCGGAUUUACUGGGCGUAAAGGGCGCGUAGGCGGCUCAACAAGUCACUUGUGAAAUCUCCGGGCUUAACCCGGAGCGGCCAAGUGAUACUGUCGUGCUAGAGUGCGGCAGGGGCUACUGGAAUUCUCGGUGUAGCGGUGAAAUGCGUAGAUAUCGAGAGGAACACCGGCGGCGAAGGCGGGUAGCUGGGCCGACACUGACGCUGAGGCGCGAAAGCCAGGGGAGCGAACGGG
rnacentral:rRNA from 1 species